GUAGAAAUACAGCUAUUUGACAAGUAUUACUGUCUAUCUACAUCCUUCAGUAGAACUCCUGAGAGCAGUGCUGUCAGUUUUUUCUCACCUUGGAGAAGCUUCUUAGUUAUGUGUGGUUUGAACUGAAAAUAUGCCAAAUGAUAAAUAUAUAAACAUCCGGACCACAUGGCCAUAUCUGAUUAAGACCAGAACAGGAGGCUUCAUGGUGUUCACCUGUCAGUGUGCUGAGACGAAGCCACUAUACAAAGAGUGUAAGGAUCCUGUUCAAGGUCACACACAUGGUAUGUGGCUGAGCUCUGAGUCAGGCCAGGCAGACUGGUUCCUGAGCCUGUUCUGACCCCUGAAGUUCACAUGGACAAGUUUAGUGUCCUCCCUAAAGCUUUCCUCCUUGAAAUCUUGGAUGAGAUGGGACACUGAGAUUUCCUUAUGUGUCAGAGAAGAUAAACCUUCAUCAGAGGGUGAGUUGGUCCAUGUUGACCUGCAUCCCAGCUCUGGGGUACAGGGUUCUGCCUGAACACAGCCUGCAAGCCCUGGGUUAACCUCUCCUUCCAGCCC
ensembl:lncRNA